AAAUUUAAAAGGUGUUUUCCGGGCGUCGAUGGGCCCGGCCCAUCGAGGAAAUUAUAAGUGGGACUUAAAGGAGAAGGAAGAUUUGAGAUGGACCAUGACAGACAACCAGGAUUUUUACAGGGAUAUGAGGAGAAACUAUUUCAGAUAAAGCCACAAGAACAGGGCCAAGCAGAUGAAGGGACUAGAAGAACUAACCGAACCAAAGCCUUCUUUGAAGUUGGAAAGCAAAUAGCUUGGUUCCUUCUCUCAGAAGGGCGCCGUGCUUCUUUUUCCUGCACAGUUGAAGAUCCUCCUCCCCUGGGAAGCCUUCCAGGGCCACCCAGCCUCUUUGAUAUCCACCUGAAAGUUGUAGCACUAAGUGCCAACACUUCUUGCUGUAUAAUCACAUAUUGCGUCAUUAAAUCACACGUAUGUAUCUUU